rnacentral:rRNA from 1 species
GUAGGUGGCAAGCGUUGUCCGGAAUUAUUGGGCGUAAAGCGCGCGCAGGCGGUUCUUUAAGUCUGAUGUGAAAGCCCACGGCUCAACCGUGGAGGGUCAUUGGAAACUGGAGAACUUGAGUACAGAAGAGGAAAGCGGAAUUCCACGUGUAGCGGUGAAAUGCGUAGAGAUGUGGAGGAACACCAGUGGCGAAGGCGGCUUUCUGGUCUGUAACUGACGCUGAGGCGCGAAAGCGUGGGGAGCAAACAGGGAUUAGAUACCCUGGUAGUCCACGCCGUAAACGAUGAGUGCUAAGUGUUAGGGGGGUUUCCGCCCCCUUAGUGCUGCAGCUAACGCAUUAAGCACUCCGCCUGGGGAUAGGCCGCAAGGCUG